GAAAAAAGGGAACAAGAAAUAAUCAGCUGAAAGAGCUCAGAUAAAGAAACCUUAACAGUAGAGACACACGUUCCAAACAGGAACAUUUAUGUCUGUUUGUUUGUCUUCCUUCCUACCCCAAUUCCUAUUAUGAGCCUGAGAAAUAACAGGACUCCUAUAUAAGCCAUACCUGUGUUAUGUGUAAUGUGACAUGUCUGAAUGAGUUGCCCUGAAUGAGUGGACCACCUUUCCUACCACCCUCCACUUAUGAGCCGUGCCAAUCAAAACUCUAUCUAUCGUGCCUUCCCUUGCAAAGGGACAGUGCCGUUAGGGGGGUGAGAAAGGCACAGACACCCUGUUAUAAGCCCUGUUGUGAAAACCCCUGUUGUGCUUGUGCCCAAAAACCCAGAAGUUGCCACGUACGAAAGCUCUUCACGUGCUUGAGUGUGGUAACGAGAAACGGUGUGCAUAGAUAAGAACAGAAGAAAUAGCUGCUGUGGUUUUUUUUGUAAGUAACCUCAGACUGUGGAGCAAAAGAGAUAAUGGGAAGCUCCGGGUCAAAAACAGGCAGCCCAGAAUCAGAAAAAACCCCGUUAAAGAAAAUGUGUAAGAUCUACAAAGAUCGUAUGCCAUCUAGGUUGAAUUUAAAAAGAUUAGAAAUUCUACGGGCCGCCACCCAAUACUGGGAUGACAUCCAAGAAAGAAAACUAGGAAAAGAAAAAUUAGAAACCAAGUUGCUAACCUUGCAAAUAGAACAGCUCCAGACUCAAAUCCUACCUUAAGAAGUUUGGCUAAACAGUGCAUAGACGCAGUAUUGCAACUAAGAAGACCUAAAAAUAAAAACAGCUAUGAUACCAAAUUUCUCAUUAUUAGCAAGCUACAUGAUACAAAUUGAUACAAGCCACAAGAUUCAGUCCCUGAACCACUAAAAUGGUCAGAGGAAAUGAAUCAGAGAUGAGAAGACUUAAUAACCUCAUUAACCAAAAUUCAUGCACUGGGCUUGCGAAUAGCAUAUUACUCUGCACAAUUAGACGCAGCUGCACAAGGAUUUCCACCUUGCUCCAAGCAGUGGCUGCUACCGCCUUGCUUGUAAAGAAAAAGCAGCUGAUUUGAAAUUAAGAAAAAUUUGUGGGUUAGAGUUCCACCGUUGCAGCCUUGUUGAUAACCAAAUCUACACAAUUUCUAUCGAAUCAGAGAUUGACUCGAUACGAGCAGAUACUACCAGCAAUUACCCUUAAACAGUGCACUACCUUAAAUGAUUGCGAAGUGGUAAUUCAAGAAUUUGACUGAUGUUACAUUGCCAGCUCCAGAUAUAGUUCUGUUUACUGAUAGCUCUUGUAAAGGAAACAGCUGAAGAGGGCUAGUAGCCAGAUAUGCAGUAAUUUCUCAAGUACUGAUAAAAUAAAAAUAAAAAGGAAGUGUAUACCACAUUAGAAAGUUUCGCUCUGCCACGAAGUGCACAAGCCGCAGAAUUAAUUGCUUUAACCAGAACCUAGCAAAAGGUUUGUCAAUAAAUAUUCAUACAAUAUUGUUUUGUAAUCUGUCAUGCAGUUGAGCAAAUCUAAGAAUAUAGAGGCUUUAUGACAGCUGCAGGAGGGCCUAUAGCAAAUAGCCCUUUAGCUGCAAAGUUGUUUGAAACAAUCUUGCAAAUCCAACACUAAAGAGAACACUCUUUUCCCAGGAUACUACUCCAACUUGGGAAAAAGAAUCUUGCAACUUAAAGAAAAGAAUCUUAAGAAGAAAAUAAUACUAAUAAUAAAAAUUGAGAAAAAUAAUGUAUGGGUAUUUUAUAAUGACAAACCAAUUGCAUCUUGAGAUUUAGUUAAGACACUAACAUACUUAAACAAUGGUGUGCCCCAAGAAUACACCUAGAAGCUAAAUGAGUGUGCCAAAAGUGUGUAACUUGCCUGAAGUUUUUAUAGUCCUAAACUAUCUGCACACACCCGUGAGUUUAUAGUCCAUUUCAAUAUUGCAGAUUGACUUUAUUGAAUUUACUAACGCAAUAAGAUUUAAAUACUGUUUGACUGUUGUGUGCAUUUUCAGUAGAUGGGUAGAAAGUUUUCCUGUAUAAUAUGCAACAGAAAAAUCCACAAUUAAAUGCUUACUAAGAGAAGUGGUGCCCAGAUUUAGCGUACCUUUAAAGGUGAAUUCAGACUAUACUAAGAGUUGAAGUGAAAUUCCUUUGGUGUUAAUGAACUUGAGAAACAGCCCCGACAGAAAACAUGGACUCACACAACAUAAGAUUGUAUUUGGGAAGCUUAUGGCUGUUGGACUGUCUCUGCCAAAACCAUUUUUCCCCUCACUGAGAGCAGUGAGGAAAUAAUCUGUAAUGUUCUACACUUACACAGACUAUUAGUUCAACUCCAAAGAAAAGUGAGAAACAAGCAACUGCUUUCAGCUGAUGUUCUAUGUCAUCAUUUCCAACCAAGAGAUGCAGUGUUCAUAAAAGUCCAUAAAAAGCCCAAUUCGUUGGCUCCUACUUAGGACGGGCCUUGUAUUGUGUUGCUGACCACACACACCUGGAUACAUGCAGCCCAUGUGAAAAAGCUAAAUCCAGGAUGCCAGAUGGAUGAUCCAGAUGAUCCAGUUGCACUAGAAAGUUACUCAGACCUGAUUGAGAUGUUAAAGGAUGAAAGAAGCUGCCAGGAGGAAGCCAAGAGAAGCCCCUGUACAUGCUAAGCGACCAAGUGUCCAGUGGAGAGAGUGAGUUGAGGCUGAAGAGCAGGAACUCCCCUCCACGGAACGACAUCUGGUCAGUCAGCAAGAUCAGCUGUCCUUUUAACCUCAAGUCAAGAGUUUCUGAGUUAACGAGGCAUAAUAACCUUCCAACGAAAUCUGGAUGCUCUAAGAGACAUUCAGUGAAGAGAAGAUAUUAAGACAACGCCGUUACAACUACUUUGUGUGUUUUUAACCUCUAUAGUUCUCUGAAUUGUAAAAAUGAAAUUUGAGUGUGUGUUAUUUCUUAUUAUACAAGCCCUGCCUUGCAUUGCAAUCCAAAAAAGAGUCUCAAAAGCAUCCCAUGACUUGAGCAGGUAAAAAAAAAAAAAAGAAAGAAA